UCGAGAUAGGCAGCUUUCGCUGCUGCAAGACGUCCACACAAGACACCUGCACAUCCGCACGCCACAGGGCGUGUUUGGUCGUUUCGACCGGAAGCUUUAUGGGUCUGUAGCUCAGGUGGUUAGAGCGCACCCCCUGAUAAGGGUGAGGCCGGUGGUUCGAGUCCUCCCAGACCCACCACCAAGCACCUGGGGCCAUAGCUCAGCUGGGAGAGCACCUGCUUUGCAAGCAGGGGGUCGUCGGUUCGAUCCCGACUGGCUCCACCAGUUUGAAACGGCUAACCAAUGGAUGUGUAGCGCACACAAAAGAUUUUGAAGCCCACCGGCGUUGAGGCCGGCGUGGUGUUCUUUGAAAACGUAAACGAGUGACAAGCGUUUUGGUUCGAAACCGAACCGAGAUGUGUCGUUGAGGCAAUGUAGCGAAACAGUUCUUUGGCAUGUCCUGGCAACAGGAUGGCCCCGAGGCGACUUGGGGUUAUAU
rnacentral:tRNA from 1 species